GAUGAACGCUGGCGGCGUGCCUAAUACAUGCAAGUCGAGCGAACAGACGAGGAGCUUGCUCCUCUGACGUUAGCGGCGGACGGGUGAGUAACACGUGGAUAACCUACCUAUAAGACUGGGAUAACUUCGGGAAACCGGAGCUAAUACCGGAUAAUAUAUUGAACCGCAUGGUUCAAUAGUGAAAGACGGUUUUGCUGUCACUUAUAGAUGGAUCCGGGUCGCAUUAGCUAGUUGGUAAGGUAACGGCUUACCAAGGCAACGAUGCGUAGCCGACCUGAGAGGGUGAUCGGCCACACUGGAACUGAGACACGGUCCAGACUCCUACGGGAGGCAGCAGUAGGGAAUAUUCCGCAAUGGGCGAAAGCCUGAUGGAGCAAUGCCGCGUGAGUGAUGAAGGUCUUCGGAUCGUAAAGCUCUUUUAGUAGGGAAGAACAAAUGUGUAAGUAACUAUUCACGUCUUGACGUUACCUAAACAGAAAGCCACGGCUAACUACGUG
rnacentral:rRNA from 1 species